rnacentral:rRNA from 1 species
CUACGUAGGGUGCGAGCGUUAAUCGGAAUUACUGGGCGUAAAGCGUGCGCAGGUGGUUUUGUAAGUCAGAUGUGAAAUCCCCGGGCUUAACCUGGGAACUGCGUUUGAAACUGCAAGGCUAGAGUGUGACAGAGGGGGGUGGAAUUCCGCGUGUAGCAGUGAAAUGCGUAGAGAUGUGGAGGAACACCGAUGGCGAAGGCAGCCCCCUGGGUCAACACUGACGCUCAGGCACGAAAGCAUGGGGAGCAAACAGAAUUAGAUACCCGAGUAGUCC